rnacentral:rRNA from 1 species
GACGUAGGGCGCGAGCGUUGUCCGGAUUUAUUGGGCGUAAAGAGCUCGUAGGCGGCUUGUUGCGUCAGCUGUGAAAACCCGCAGCUCAACUGUGGGCUUGCGGGCGAUACGGGCAGACUGGAGUACUGCAGGGGAGACUGGAAUUCCUGGUGUAGCGGUGAAAUGCGCAGAUAUCAGGAGGAACACCGGUGGCGAAGGCGGAUCUCUGGGCCUUACCUGACGCUCAGGUGCGAAGGCUAGGGGAGCGAACGGG